rnacentral:lncRNA from 1 species
AGAUGAAGCCAAAAACUAUGAAGUGAGGAUUUGGCAUGGGCAUUUCUUAGCAGGUAUCAGCUUGUAUUUAUUGUACCCAUCAUGGAUGUGGCUUCCUAGGGGAGCCAGCCUGCUUGUGAUUGGGUUAUCUAUGGAAAUCAUGUGACUUUGUGUAAAUUAGUAACUGAAAAUUUUACAAUAUUGAAAAUCUGUGUUUGUACUUUAUGCUGAUUCUAUUGGAGAGAGCAAAAGGGCAGUGGUUUUAAUUAAAGCACAUUUGUAUGAGUUUGUUUAAAGACUUUUCUUUUUAAUUAAAUGAAUACAGACAGGGCCUGGGAAUGUAGCUCUGUUGGUUGAGUGGUUGCAUAGCAUAUAAGAGGCCCUGGUUUGAUUCCCAGCACUGUAUGAACUGAAUGUCUUUAUAUUGGUUUGUAAUCUCAACACUGGAAUGUAGUGUCAAGAGGAUCAGAAGGCCAAGGUUAUAAAUUUGUGGGCAUCUUGUUGAGAGAACUUGUCUCAAAAACAAAAUGAGACAAAAGGAACAAAAUUAUUAGAAAUUGAAUUUAAACUUACAAUUCAGGUAGAAGUUUUUUAUAAUUCUAGCUAAUAUUGUUGAUUUUUAUCAUUGAUAAUUUUUUACUUUUUAAAGGGUGUUUUGUAUUGUCAUAUUGUUAAUUUAGCUUUUUUCGUUUUUUUUCUAGAGGUUUAACUGUAAGUCUUUUCUUUGGAGAGAGACAGGACAGAAAAUUUUAAGAUGAAAUUGCGCAAUGUCUACAAGCUUAUCCCAAAUCUAUAAAUGAGGAAGAAGGUGAGAAUAGCUAGUGCAAGGCUGACCGGGCUUUGCACAAGUGUUUACUUUUGCAGAGUAAUGGGUGCACCAAGAUUCAUUUUAUUUAUCUGUUUCUGUUAUCUGCUUGAAAUUCUCUAUAAUACAGUUUAAAAACAUACAAACUCAGCAAGAGAGUUUCAAAGUUCAGUCCUCGUUGCUAGCUAUAGACAAUCUUUACAGUGAACUUCUUCAUAUCAGCUAUGACUACUUAGCCAUGACUGAUUGCAUUGUUAAAUUCACCGGUGGCAAAGAGUAGAGUAUAUGCUCGAUAUGAGAGAAGAUUCCCAUCUGCAAGUUGUCUCAGAAUAUGUUUGCAUCCAAAUUCAUUUGUGGAAGGCUGCUCCCUUGAAGGCUAAAAAAAUGCACAAUAUUUCUUUUGAGAUACGGGAAGCAUUUUGUGUCUUGUUUAUUGCAAGCACAUCUUUGAAGCCAAAGGGGGGGAUUAUAUGUGAAAUUGUUGAUUUACUAUCCUCCCGAAUAUUCCUUUAAUAAUGAAUGGAGGAGCCAUCAGAGCUUGCCCCUUUCUAGCCUAUAGAGUUUUAGUUGUCAGUGGCACAGCAGAUCCUCUCUCUGCUUUCUUUGCCUCACCAGUCAAGCUCUGCUGGGGAUCCUUGAGUUUGCUGAUGGAUUCUAACCUGCCUGAUAAAUGUUCAGUGUUAGGCAGUUAUGGGUUCUUAUCCAAGAGACUAUGGUUGUCUGCACUGUAUAAUAUAUGUUCUAUGUCAAUGGAGCUCUGACUCCCUGGGACCUUAUGAUUGGAUUAAGGUCUUUUGUGUGUGAAAAAUAAACAAAUUCCAUGUGACGUGGCUAGAUAUUUUCUAUGUUUUAAUGAAAAAUAAAACUUCUUGUUGGAAAUACCAGCUUGAUCCACCCAUUUUAUGUACUCUCUCAUGUUAAGUCUUUUGCAAAUAUUUGCAUACCUUCUACCACGCUUGAGAAAUCGUGCUUUUUCCGGUGCCUAUUAAGCCUUGACAGCAUAUAUUAGUUUAUAAAGACAGGUGUUGUGAGGAUGCUGUUUGAUAAUCAGUGCCCAGAAAUGUCCUAUACUCUGCUGGAUCAUAAUAAUCAAGAAAACCUUAGACAAGUAACCACCCAUAUGAAACUGUUCUUUGGAAUUAGUCUGUCCUGAUCUAUGGAUUCCUGGGUUUGCAAAGAAUUUCAAGGUCUUUGGUUCUGAGAAUUUGUCCAUUUUAAAUAUUUAUUUACCCAUUUUCUCUCUCCUAGCUGGCCUCACUCUUGAAUUUUGUUUUUGUUUGUUUGUUUAUUUUAGCAGCGAAUGCCCACAUCUUAAAAUACUAGGCAUGAUGAUUUUCUCUGAGGAUACUGUAUGGGACACUG